rnacentral:rRNA from 1 species
UACGUAGGGGGCAAGCGUUAUCCGGAUUUACUGGGUGUAAAGGGAGCGCAGACGGCGAUGCAAGCCAGGAGUGAAAGCCCGGGGCCCAACCCCGGGACUGCUCUUGGAACUGCGUGGCUGGAGUGCAGGAGGGGCAGGCGGAAUUCCUGGUGUAGCGGUGAAAUGCGUAGAUAUCAGGAGGAACACCGGUGGCGAAGGCGGCCUGCUGGACUGCAACUGACGUUGAGGCCCGAAAGCGUAGGGAGCAAACAGG